UACGUAGGGACCAAGCGUUGUUCGGAUUUACUGGGCGUAAAGGGCGCGUAGGCGGCGUGGUAAGUCAGUUGUGAAAUCUCCGAGCUUAACUCGGAACGGCCAACUGAUACUGCUGUGCUAGAGUGCAGAAGGGGCAAUCAGAAUUCUUGGUGUAGCGGUGAAAUGCGUAGAUAUCGGAAGGAACACCAGUGGCGAAAGCGGCUUCCUGGUCCAGCACCGACGUUCAGGCACGAAAGCGUGGGGAGCAAACAGG
rnacentral:rRNA from 1 species